AAGUCCUAGCUUGAGGACAUCUGCCGUGAGGACAUCUGUUCUAUAGGCUCGUACCGCUGCAUCCUUUACCAAUAAGGAGGCAAGCACUUCAGUCUGGUUGAUGCAUUCUAACCUCUGGGCCAGAGCAUGAUUAACGGCUUGGAUUAACCUGAUGGGUGACAUCCAACCGCUGUAGAGGAUCGUUCCUGUUCCAGUACACACUGUGGUGCAGGGUGGCUUAGAGGUUGUCUGACAGACU
rnacentral:snoRNA from 2 species